AUGGGCACAGCAGCUGCGCAUCCCGGGGUUGCAGACCUCCUCACGUUUGCAGCGUAGCUCGAGUCGGUCAGCACCCGAGGACCUCAGCAGCCAUGUCGAAGCCCCAUAGUGAAGCCGGAACUGCCUUCAUUCAGACCCAGCAGCUGCAUGCAGCCAUGGCUGACACAUUCCUGGAGCACAUGUGCCGUCUGGACAUUGACUCACCACCCAUCACAGACAGGAACACUGGCAUCAUCUGUACCAUUGGCCCAGCUUCCAGAUCGGUGGAGACGUUGAAGGAGAUGAUUAAGUCUGGAAUGCAUGUGGCUCGUCUGAACUUCUCUCAUGGAACUCAUGAGUACCACACGGAGACCAUCAAGAAUGUGCGCGCAGCCACAGAAAGCUUUGCUUCUGACCCCAUCCUCUACCGGCCCGUUGCUGUGGCUCUGGACACUAAAGGGCCUGAGAUCCGAACUGGUCUCUUAAAGGGCAGCAGCACCGCAGAGAUGGAGCUGAAGAAGGGAGCCACUCUCAAAAUCACGCUGGAGAACGCCUACAUGGAAAAGUGUGAUGAGAACAUCCUGUGGCUGGACUACAAGAACAUCUGCAAGGUGGUGGAAGUGGGCAGCAAGAUCUACGUGGAUGAUGGGCUUAUUUCUCUCCAGGUGAAGCAAAAAGGUGCUGACUUCCUGGUGACAGAGGUGGAAAAUGGUGGCUCCUUGGGCAGCAAGAAGGGUGUGAACCUUCCUGGGGCUGCUGUGGACUUGCCUGCUGUGUCAGAGAAGGACAUCCAGGACCUGAAGUUUGGGGUUGAGCAGGAUGUCUAUAUGGUGUUUGCGUCAUUCAUUCAUCUGCAAGGCAGCUGAUGUCCGUGAAGUGAGGAAGGUACUGGGAGAGAAGGGAAAGAACAUCAAGAUAAUCAGCAAAAUCGAGAAUCAUGAGGGGUUUCGGAGGUUUGAUGAAAUCCUGGAGGCCAGUGAUGGGAUCAUGGUGGCUCGUGGUGAUCUAGGCAUUGAAAUUCUUGCAGAGAAGGUCUUCCUUGCUCAGAAGAUGAUGAUUGGGCGGUGCAACCGAGCUGGGAAGCCUGUCAUCUGUGCCACUCAGAUGCUGGAGAGCAUGAUCAAGAAGCCCCGCCCCACCCGGGCUGAGGGCAGUGAUGUGGCCAAUGCAGUCCUGGAUGGAGCUGACUGUAUCAUGCUGUCUGGAGAGACAGCAAAAGGGGACUAUCCUCUGGAGGCCGUGCGCAUGCAGCACCUGAUUGCCCGUGAGGCAGAGGCCGCCAUCUACUACUUGCAAUUAUUUGAGGAACUCCGCCGUCUGGCCCCCAUUACCAGCAACCCCACAGUAGCCACCGCUGUGGGUGCCGUGGAGGCCUCCUUCAAGCACUGCAGUGGGGCCAUAAUCGUCCUCACCAAGUCUGGCAGUUCUGCUCACCAGGUGGCUAGAUACCGCCCACGUGCCCCCAUCAUUGCUGUGACACGGAAUCCCCAGACAGCUCAUCAGGCUCACCUGUACUGUGGCAUCUUUCCUGUGUUGUGUAAGGACCCCGUCCAGGAGGCCUGGGCCGAGGACGUGGACCUCCGGGUGAACUUGGCCAUGAAUGUUGGCAAGGCCCGAGGCUUCUUCAAGAAGGGAUAUGUGGUCAUUGUGCUGACUGGGUGGCGCCCUGGCUCCGGCUUCACCAACACCAUGCGUGUUGUUCCUGUGCCGUGAUAGACCCCAGAGCCCCUCCUCCAGCCCCUGUCCCACCCCCUUCCCCCAACCCAUCCAUUAGGCUAGCAGCGCUUGUAGAACUCACUCCGGGCUGUAAUGUGGCACUGAUGGGCUGGGACACC